rnacentral:rRNA from 1 species
AGUGAACGCUGGCGGUAGGCCUAACACAUGCAAGUCGAACGGCAGCACAGUAAGAGCUUGCUCUUACGGGUGGCGAGUGGCGGACGGGUGAGGAAUACAUCGGAAUCUACUUUUUCGUGGGGGAUAACGUAGGGAAACUUACGCUAAUACCGCAUACGACCUACGGGUGAAAGCAGGGGAUCUUCGGACCUUGCGCGAUUGAAUGCGCCGAUGUCGGAUUAGCUAGUUGGCGGGGUAAAGGCCCACCAAGGCGACGAUCCGUAGCUGGUCUGAGAGGAUGAUCAGCCACACUGGAACUGAGACACGGUCCAGACUCCUACGGGAGGCAGCAGUGGGGAAUAUUGGACAAUGGGCGCAAGCCUGAUCCAGCCAUACCGCGUGGGUGAAGAAGGCCUUCGGGUUGUAAAGCCCUUUUGUUGGGAAAGAAAAGCAGCAGGUUAAUACCCCGCUGUUCUGACGGUACCCAAAGAAUAAGCACCGGCUAACUUCGUA